rnacentral:lncRNA from 1 species
UGGUGGAAACUCGUAAUGGUGGUACCACUCCACCUAUGACCACAUUUAGCCUCGCGGAUCGCUUUUUAUGCGAGAAUCUUCUACGAGUAUGGAUCUCAACUCUUAAUGAAAACACCAAUUUGUGGAUGCAAAUUUCCGUCUUCUUCUUCUUGGACAAAAUUGCACCUACAAAACAAUUAACACCUUAGGUCAAGGCCAGGAGCCUUACGCGCCCACGAUGAAUGGGGGGGCUUUAGCCGAAGAAUCUCUGAUGCCAAAGUUAGAAUUUAGAGAGAAAAGUAUUUGGAGAAUUUUUUUGGGAUUUUUGCCAAAG